rnacentral:rRNA from 1 species
GGGAUAUUGCACAAUGGAGGAAACUCUGAUGCAGCAACGCCGCGUGAGGGAAGAAGGUCUUCGGAUUGUAAACCUUAGUAGUCAGGGACGAAAGAAAUGACGGUACCUGAAGAGUAAGCUCCGGCUAACUACGUGCCAGCAGCCGCGGUAAUACGUAGGGAGCGAGCGUUGUCCGGAUUUACUGGGUGUAAGGGUGCGUAGGCGGGACUGCAAGUCAGACGUGAAAUACCGGGGCUUAACCUCGGGGCUGCGUUUGAAACUGCGGUUCUUGAGUGAAGUAGAGGCAGGCGGAAUUCCUAGUGUAGCGGUGAAAUGCGUAGAUAUUAGGAGGAACACCAGUGGCGAAGGCGGCCUGCUGGGCUUUAACUGACGCUGAAGCACGAAAGCAUGGGGAGCAAACA